ACUACCGAGACGUUCGUCACCGACGUGGCCUUCGAGGACGACGUCAUCACCACCACCGUCACGUCCUCCGGCGACGCCGUGGUGGCCUGGCUGCGCAGGAUCCGCCACGCCUACCGGUGGCUCAUCGUGGGGCUGGACGUGGAGUGGCGCCCCAGCUUCUGCCGCGUGCACAACCGCGUCGCGCUCCUGCAGCUCUGCGUCGGCCGCCGCUGCCUCAUAUUCCAGCUCCUCCACGUCGACUACGUCCCGCGGGCCCUCGAGAGCUUCCUCGCCGACCGGGACUUCCGCUUCGUCGGCGUGGGCGUGCAGGACGACGCCAACCGCCUCAGCAACGACCACGGCCUCGUGGUCAACAGCACCGUCGACCUGCGCGGCCUCGCGGCCGACGGGAUGCGCAAGCCGUGGCUCCGGCAGGCCGGGCUCAAGGACAUCACGGGCGCCGUCAUGGGGGCCAACCUGGAGAAGCCACAGCGUGUGAGGACGGGAGCAUGGGACGCCCACUGCCUCUCCCAUGAACAGAUCAAGUACGCCUGCAUCGACGCGUUCGUGUCCUUCGAGGUCGGUCGGAAGCUUCUCACCGGUGACUACUCCUGCUCCUCUGAUGAUGAUGAUGAUGAUGAUGAUGAUGAUGAUGAUGAUGAUGAUGAGGAGGAGGAGGAGGAGGAAGAAGAAGAAGAUGACUCCUACUACUCCUCCGAUAAGUAUGGCUCCUCUGAGGAGGACUACUGA
rnacentral:rRNA from 1 species